rnacentral:rRNA from 1 species
AAGCUCGUAGUUGAAUUUCGGGGUUAGUAGGUUGGUCAUGCCUCUGGUAUGUACUGGUCUCACUGAUUCCUCCUUCCUUAUGAACCGUAAUGCCAUUAAUUUGGUGUUGCGGGGAAUUUGGACUGUUACUUUGAAAAAAUUGAGUGUUUAAAGCAAGCUAACGCUUGAAUACAUUAGCAUGGAAUAAUGAAAUAGGACGUUCGAUCUUAUUUUGUUGGUUUCUAGGGUUGACGUAAUUUGAUUAAUAGGGAUAGUUGGG